rnacentral:rRNA from 1 species
UACGUAGGGUGCGAGCGUUGUCCGGAAUUAUUGGGCGUAAAGAGCUCGUAGGCGGUCUGUCGCGUCGGAUGUGAAAAUCCAGGGCUCAACCCUGGACCUGCAUUCGAUACGGGCAGACUAGAGUUCGGUGGGGGAGACUGGAAUUCCUGGUGUAGCGGUGAAAUGCGCAGAUAUCAGGAGGAACACCGGUGGCGAAGGCGGGUCUCUGGGCCGAAACUGACGCUGAGGAGCGAAAGCGUGGGGAGCAAACAGG